GAUCUGGCUCAGGAUGAACGCUAGCGGCAGGCCUAACACAUGCAAGUCGAGGGGCAUCACGAGGUAGCAAUACUUUGGUGGCGACCGGCGCACGGGUGCGUAACGCGUAUGUAACCUACCUAUAACAGGGGCAUAACACUGAGAAAUUGGUACUAAUUCCCCAUAAUAUUCGGAGAGGCAUCUCUCCGGGUUGAAAACUCCGGUGGUUAUAGAUGGACAUGCGUUGUAUUAGCUAGUUGGUGAGG
rnacentral:rRNA from 1 species